GUGAGUUCAUAGCCAAGGCAGAGACAGUUGUAGCCCUGCCGAGACUUCAGUGGAAAACCACAGAGCAACUGUUGAAGCUUUGAGCAGAGGGAGGAGCCAGGGCCAGCCAGCCGCCAGCCAGCAGACAGAAGCAGGAGGAGCAGGACAUACAGAAGGAAAGAAAGAAUCAUGCGUUUUGUGAUUCAUCUGGUUUAACCAGGGCCAUCCGUGUGACCCCUGAACUUGAACCAUCCACCGGAGAUGGCAAGAGUCAUGACUUGGUAUAGACCAUAAGCGCCCAAGGGCCAUCACGGAAAAGAUAGAAGAAAGAUGUUAAGAGGCAGAGACCUGGGAGGAAUGGAAGAAGCAUCAUCCUGGAUGUGAGAGGACAAGAGGAACUCUGUGCUCACACACUCACAGCGGCUGUGGUUACCUGCACAAGAUCAAACUGGCUAGCAUUCCAGCAUGAAGUGGGAAGGGCUCAUUACCUUCUACCCCGCGCUGAGGAGAUUUUUAGUAAUUGAAAGCUGCUGGAAGAGGAAGAGUCGGUGUUCUUUAAGGGUAUAGGCCCCGAUUGGCAACAAUUCACUCAUAGAUCGCCCCAUACCCCUGAGGAUAUGGGCAGCAUGAAUUGGACUAAUAGGUUAUUAAAGUAAGAAGACACGAAGUUGGGGGGAGAUAGAUCUAUGAGGAGCUAAGGAGGAAGUAGAUGGGUAAACACUGUAAAAUAUACUGUAUGUGUGUAUGAGACUCUCAAAGAGUUAACAAAAUGUAUCUUAUUUUUUUUUAAAGAAGGGCCCUUCAGGAAGAUGAUUAAAUCAUGAGACUGGAGCCCUUGUGAUUAGGAUUACUGAAAGACUCCAGGGGUAGCGUUCUCUUUCCUCUGAUGGAGAAGAUAUUUUUAAGAAAGAAUGGUUCCUAUCCAGAAUCUACAAGUACCUCUCCACCUUCCCAAAUGCUGAGAAGAAAGAAAUAGAUUUAUCUGUGUAAAAAAUGCCAAGUCCUUGGUAUUUUAUUAUAGUUUCCAGAUAAGGAAAGUUAAAGUGUUAUUUCCUCACUAUAGAGCUACUAUACUUUUAUCUUCACCAUUUUAAUGGUGCAUCAUCUACCAGAAUUUUCCCUACCCCUACUGUCUGCUGACUAGCCAGUCUCUAUUUAUCAGAAAAACUUUGAUACAUAUGAAGAGAAUAUUAAAUAGGUCAUUAGUUUGUCGAGAUCAGGAAUUACAUUAAGUCUGCUGUCAGCUAUGUCUUAGCAUAUAAUCAAAAAUAUUCUUUUGAAGCAUUAGAUUUUCAUAACUUAACCAAUAUUGGCAUUAAUACCAUUCUUAUAUUCAGGCUUGCAAGGAUUAUAAGUGUAUUUUUCUGAAUGCAAGUACAUUUCCAAUACUAUUUCUCACCGCUUCUUAUUAUGGCGAGGGACAUUUAAUCUUAGAAGACUCAGGCUUCCUCCCUUCCCCAGGAUUGCAUCUGAGUCUUUGGGAUUCACUUGGUGCCAAGGAGAGAAGGUGGCACUGGAGCCAUUGUCACAGGUUUCAGGUUGUUGCUCCUGUUCCUGUUCGUGUGACACUUCUUUGCUCUCCACAAGCUCAGAGAGUCAUUUCCUCUCUGUCAAGCCAGACCUUCUUUCUCUUCUUUUCUAGUCCUAAAAGCUGAAUCUCAACACACAAGAGUGCUCCAUUUAGCUGAAAUUUCUGCAACAUUCUCUCCACCUUGUGUUCCAAGUUCUGUUUAAUCUCUCAGGACUUCACACCUUUUAUAGAGAAGAGGUGCGGGGGCUAUUCUGCUUCUGUUUGCAGUCAUAGACUCCCUGUUCCUUGUGGUGAGUACAGAGUGCCUGAGAAACUUUAUCGAAACCUGGAUGGUGAGGGUAAGAUGAGAGGAAAAGAAAAACCUCCCCAGAGGAAGACAACUCAGGGUUUGUAAAAACACGAUGUUCUUGGAGGCUUGUGUUCUAUCAUAAAUAUACAAAUGAAUUCUCUACUCUAUAAAAAUUUAUUCAUUCACAAUACAGAACUAUCUAUAAUGUUUCCAGUGGGAGCUAUAUGAAUUGUAAAAUAAAAUGGAUAUACGUAGAAA